AGGACUUGCUGGUUGGUGGUACCGAUACCUCAGCCCUUACAGUAGAAUGGGCAUUGAAUGAACUUCUCAAACAUCCACGUCUCAUUCGAAAGGCAACCGAAGAGCUUGAUAGAGUGAUAGGAAGAGAUAAGUGGGUGGAAGAGGCAGAUUUCUCAAAACUUCCUCUUUUAGAGGCGAUCAUAAAGGAAACUCUCAGGUUACAUCCACUGGCAACGCUACUUUCGCCCCGUUAUGCCCUCGAGGAUUGCACUGUAGCUGGUUAUAACAUUGCUAAAGGAACAACGGUGUUUAUAAACACAUGGAGUAUAGGGAGGAACUCAAAGUAUUGGGAUUCUCCUGAAGAAUUCAUUCCAGAGAGGUUUUUGGAGAAGGAUAUUGACAUGAAGGGACAAAACUUUGUGCUACUGCCCUUUGGCUCAGGUCGGAGGAUGUGCCCAGGCUAUAACCUUGGAAUCAAACUUAUUCGAUCAAUGUUGGCCAACUUGUUGCAUGGAUUCAACUGGAAAUUGCCUCGUGGCAUGAAACCAGAGGAAAUUUGCAUGGAAGAACACUACGGACUCACAACCCAUCCAAGGAUUCCACUUGCUAUGAUCCCAGAACCACGUUUGCCGGUCAAUCUCUAUCAGCAAGUAUUGAUUUAAGGCAAAAUUGAAAUAUAUUCCUACUCUGUAUCAAUCAAAGGUUAAACUUAAUCUCCCCUCUCCAAUUGUAUCAUGCUUUUUUGAUCACUUGGCUCAAUUUAGGUGAGAGCUUGGGAGUUGGGACAGAGUAUAUUUGACCUAAGGAAACUUUGAAGGGACGAUACUCCUUUUGGUGAUUUCUAUUGUGAAAUAAUACAAAAGUCACAAUCAUACUGGUUUUCUUUUCUUUCUUGAAAUUGCUUUUGGUGAUUUCUAUAUUGUGAAAUAAAAGAAAAGUCACAAUAUAUUUUUUGGCUAAAUAACAAAAGUCAAAAUAUCGCAAUUAUGACGUGUGGAAGAAUUGACAUGGAAAUAUUGAAGACUGCACAGAGGGGGGAAAAACUGGCUCUCUUGUUAGCAAAGAAAAUAGGUACGCAACGGCAUUAAAUAUAACAUCUCAAAAAUUUGAUGAACAAACAAGGAGGCCCUCAAUUAGAGCCACAAGUCUUUUCAAGUUCUUGAGAACAAAAGAUAACAUUCACGAAAGCAGAGUUGGCACAACUUACUGGAACAGAGAAGGAGCAAAACUAAACCUUGUGCAAUGACCAACUUUAUGAUUGGUUCGCACAAGGCCUGUAAAAAAGACAAAACAAAUCUGACUUCUUGACUUCAUACUACUAACACAUGUUUCAAUAUGGCAAUGCUAACUAUGAACCCAAUUCCUAUGCAACUUCAAGAAUCUAACCAAACAGAUUGAACCGAGACACCCAAUUUAAGUAAAACUACGGGUGUCGAGGUUAAUUAAGUAGCUCAUGAGUUUGGUCUGUCAAAGUUCUCAAACUUUUCAUUGGUCAAGUUUAAGCUCGAGUUCGAGCAACUCGAGCUACUUGACGAGUCGAGUUCGAUUUUAACAUAUGAAACUCGAAAACUCAUUAAGGUUAAUUGAAUUCAAAUGAGCUUUACGCACACAUAUAUUAAUUUUUUUUAUAUAUAUUCUAAAAAUGUACGGAGCUGGCAUUGGUUUUGUGCUAAAUAUAAUCAAGUGAAUAUGAAUACAUCUCAAAUUAAAUUCAAUUAGAAAAUGAGUUAAAUUAUCUUACCUCAAUAUUGCAUGAAAAAAUAAAAAUUGUACCAUAAAAGUUUUACUGCAUGGAUUGAAGCACAAAUUAGAUUGCUCUCUUUAAGAUAAUUUGCACGUAUGAAGUAUUAUCCAAUGUACUAGGUUUUAGCAUGUUGCUUCUAACCUAUUUUUUACUGCAAUUUAUCCUAAUAUACCAAUAGGUUAGACAAAAACUUAACACAAUACUGUUUUUACUUCAAAUGAAAUUUAUACUAUAUAUAAAGGGAGAGUAGUGAUAGUUGGUAUAAAGAUUUUCUGCCAUUUUUAUGAACUUUCAAUUUUACCCCUUAGAAAAACUAAUUUUUUGUCCUAAUUACUUGAUCACAUUUGCCAACAUAUCACUGCUCAUAACUACACCAAAUAUUCCAGCUACCAAAUUAUCUAUUUUUUAAUUGAAGGAAAAUUACUUAUAAAUUGAUGUUUGUUAAUGAAAAAUUCUUUUAAAAUUUAUUUGUGCAAAAAUAAAAUUUGUGAAUUUAUAAAAAUAAUAAUUAUCUCUAAAUUGCACACAUACUCGGUGUGCCUUUAACACUAGUACAUAUAACAUAUCUAAAACUAGUUUAGUAUUAGUAGAAUAUAGUAGAAGAAUCUCCUUAUCAAGAGUAAGAAAUAUAGGUGUUACAAUAAUGUAAGAUAUCUGUUGUUUGAACAUUUAUUUAUAGGUAGAAUAUUAUAUGAGUGCAACCUUGACAAUUCACAUUAAAUCUAAUGACAAUACAAAAUUUUAGUUUCAAAAUACUAUUGCUUGUAAUGCCAUGUAUAACGGUCAAAUUAUUAUGAAAAUAACAUUAGAAAAGUUUCUCAUUUUUGUUAUCAAAUUUGUAAUUGAAAAUCAUUGAAUAAUAAUUGUAAUUUUUUUUUGUUAAAUUACUCCAACAAUACCCCCUCUUAUUUUAAUAACAAAUAAGUGGGGGACGUGAAACCAUUUGAUUUUACAUAACAUUGUCUUAGAGUUCUAUUAGAAGUGGCAAAAUGGAUAUAUGGUUGAUAAAUGGUUUUAGUUAAAUGGAUAGUGGAUCAAAUUGAUCCAAUCCAAUUAAAACCAUUUAAUAAAUGGAUCUAAAUGGAUGCCAUUUCAAUGGAUACUGUAAACCAUGAUCCAUCCAUUUAUCCAUUUACUCUCCCAAAUCCUAAAUUUAAGAUCCAAAUGUUUUUUUUCCAAAAAAUACAGAUCCCCAAAGUUCUAUCCCUAAAUCACCUAAAACCUUUUGGUAAUAACAAAUGCUUGUACUACUACUCUAUUUCAGUUCUUCAUAAAAUUAGUUUAGUUCCAAGAAAAUUUAACUGCUGUGGUCAAUUUAACCUUUCGUCAUUACUUUAAGUAUCAUUUUGUAAAGUAAUGAACAAUUAAGAACUUGGCUACAUUUUUAUAACUUUUGAAUGAAUUGAAUACGGCUUUAUAGUGAAAAAAAAGUUUACGUUUCCAAUUUUUGCACUCCUGUUCAAGAGUGAUGUCUUGAAUAAAAGUGGAGUUCAAAUAAGAAAUCUUAUGUUAUUUGAUAAGUAAAAUAUUUUCAUCACUUAUGCACGUAGUACCUAAAAAUGUAUGAAACUUCUUAUUAUACCAUUGAUAUACAAGCUACCUUAUAUUACUUAGUAAAUUAGGUGUCUUUUUUUUUGGAUAGUUGGGUUGGGUGAUAAGGGGAGAGAGAUUGCAAGUAUGAGGAUUUGGAAAAAAAAAAAAAAGGUGACAUUUACAUAUCUUAACCAAUGUUGCGGGGACACUCGUUAGAAAAAUUCUUUUUAUAAAUAAAAGAAUUAAAAAAAUAAAAAUUAUUUUGACACUGCAUGAUGCAUUCUUGCUUUUUCUUUACUUAAGAAUAUAAAUGUUUGCAAUCAUUACUGCAUGAGAGUUUAAUUAAAAAAAAAAAGAGUAGAGACUAAAAUAUAAUUUUGAAAAGGAUGGAAGAAAUCUAGGAACUAGAAGCAAAUAAAAUGCAAUUAAUGUUAUUGGCAACUUGGCAUGUGAGGAAGUUACGAAAGAAAGAAUAGGUGGUCCCACAAAAUUAAUCUAACAUAUGAGAAAGUUAUGAAGAAAAGAAUAGAUGGUCCCACAAAAUUUUAUCUCGCAUUUUUAUAAAUGUGUUUCCUAUUUUUUAAGUUAAAUGGAUGUAUAUGGAUAAGAUGGAUAAUCCAUUUAAAUCCACCAAUAUAAUUGGAUUUAAAUGGUUAUCCAUUUAAAACCAUUGAAUUUAUAUGGAUCAUCCAAAUCCAUUUAAGGUUGGUUUAUAUGGAUGGAUUGGUGGAUAUGAAUCCAUUUUGCCACUUCUAAGUUCUAUAUAGUCCCUUCCUCAACUUUCAUUUAAUUUUUUCCAAUUGCGCCUAAAUCAAAUUCUUACCUUUUAGAUAUACGUACUACUGUCCUAACACAAUACUAAUCAAUUCAAUACCCUACUAUUGGAAUACUAAAACAACUCAAUGAUGUCCUAACACAUCGUUCUUGGGCUGAUCCUGUGAGAUUUUAGUGUGAUUUCUGUGGUUCGGCGUUAUAAUCACUGAUGGCCGACUUUUCUGUUCAUUCUUCGACAGUAAAGUGUUGGGCAGUGACUGACCAACAAAUGCUUUGAUGAAGAAGAGUUUGUAGCAUUAAAAAAUUGAGAACGGAUAAAUUGUACUUGUUUGGCCCGAUGGAUACGAAAUCUUGUGGCACGUCUAUUCUUCACUAAAAUUAUUGGAAUUUGGUCACAGAUUUACAUGAAUCUUCCUCCAUCUUCUAUGUUAAUUACGGCUUUUUCAAAUUGAGGUUGUAAUUUUCAAGUUGAGCUUUUAUCUUCUUCAGCAAAUAGCAUCCAAUUUAAGGUACUUAAGUUUUGGCCUUUACUCAUUUGAUUUUAUGUUAUGACCUUCCAUCUGAUACGUCGUUGGGGAAACGGGGCCUCACAAGUUCCAUUUCAUACAAGUUGGUGUAAAUUAAUAAUUUACUUUCAACUUACAUCAAAUUAUCUUUAAUUUACACUAAAUAAUAAUAAUUAACUUAUACCAAACGGUACUUAAUUUACACCAAAUAAUAACAAAUCAACAUACAUUGAAUUGUAACCUAUUUACGUUAAACUUGACUUGAUUUAUACGAAAAUCAUAUUAAUUUAUACCAGAGGUCAAUUUGUGUGAAAUUGUACGAAACAUAAAUUGCGAUGAUUGCCUCUAGUUUUUUCUAGUUAAUUUUUAGUGUUUAUUAAUAGUUGUUUUUAAAAUGUACAUGAUGUGUUUUUAAGGUGUAUUUUGCAUAGAUCAUCCCCUCGUAUCCAUUUUCGCAAGUAUACGAGUCGAAAGCGAAUAUAGGAUAUUAAGGGUCGAACCUACAGGGAAGAUUUUCAAUUAUCGAUAUUUUUUUAAUACCUUUAUUAUUUAGACUAUCACAAGUACAAAGAAAUUAAAUCUGCACUACAAAAAUACAAUAGAAAGAUUCUAGAGGUAUGGAAUUCCUUACUACUCUUGCAAAUGAAGUUACCAGUUAAGUGAAUGCUAUUAUCUUAGUUAGGUAUAGCAUAAUUUCCUAAUGUAUGUGAAACCUACUCUCGUAGUGAAUCAACUAUACUUGUAACUAAAUUAUACCUACUCUCGUGGUUAUGAAAUCAACUACACGUUCAUUUCUUCUAUGAAAUUACAUUAAACAAAUCACUAAAACCACAUAAGUGCACCUCUACUGUCGUAAAUGUACUUCCUAGGUUUAUCACUUCCUUGAACUAGUGUUAAAUUUCAAUUUUCAUUACAAACUUAACACCUUAACAUUAUCACAAUUAAUGGCCGGUUAAUCAUGAUUAGAAAAGCAAAAGUGAUAAAUAACUUACUCAAAAUAAUAUCAUCAAAUAAACAUCACUAACAAGAUAUAGAAAGUUCAUCCAUAACUCUAGGCAUAAACUUUAACUAAUCAUGAAAAUAAGAUCCAAACUUGUCUUAUAGUUAAACAUGAAAUCAAAAACAAGAGAGAAAGUGAUAGGAGAGAAGUCACCCUUGUCACGCGAGUUUCAAACUCUCUAUUUUGCUCUUCAAAUCUUCACCUAAAUCUAACUACAAAUACAAGAAGGAAAAGCUACACUAACUAUACUAUACUACUCUAACUAAUGAACUAAGGAAAUUCUAAUAAAGACUAUAUUUUUGGUUAGUUUUUCUAGCCUUCCAAAGUUUUGAAAAUGGUCUCUAAAGGCUGCUAUUUACAGAGAAUUAAAACUCAAGGUAAGUUGUUUCUUGGUUGGCAAAGUUGGUCUUUUAAUUCAUCAAGAGUUGUUGUCCAAGUUUCCACACUCUUCUUGGUCAGAUAUAGCUAAAAUUUUAAGUUGUAGAUGAGCUCGAAAGGUUGUAUGAACGAAGAACAAGUUGUAGUAGAAAAUGAAGAAUACACGACUUGAAAACACGACCUUAGAUCACGUAUUGCUUACCCACGUAUUGCUUCUGCAGGUUUGUACUUUCUAGGCAGAAUUCAUCCUUACUCCAUUUUUUGUCCAAUUUCAACUGACAUUUUAUUGAUAAUGGAGGCUGAACUAGCUAUUGCACAAAACAUAAACAUUGUAGCCCUUUGAGUUAGCUUUCCAAGGCAUUAAGAAUCAUCCAAUUUGGAGCUCUGUGGACCAAGAUAUGAUUAGAUUAAUCAUGACUGGUCAAUUCCCUGUUUCAACUUUCGACCAUGAAAUUGCACUUCUGUAUUUUGACUUUUUGUCUAGGAAAACAACUGAAUUGGAUUUCGAUGUUUUCAUGCCAAAUGUAGAUCUAUCUCUUAGUUUCAAAAUAGUUCAAAAGUCACCUCAAUCCGAUGCUUUUAGCUCAAUCCAAUGCUCUUAGCCAUGAACUUCACAAGUUCAAUAGGUAACCAUUAGUGAUAUAAAUCUAAAAAAGGAAAAUGUGAAACAAAGGUGAUAACAAAGGCAUUUAUAAACAUAAACCGGCGAUCCGUAACUUUAUGCCUUUGUGGUGGUGAUGUACCUAUAGAUAAUACGCAACAAACUACUCAAGGCACAAGGAAAUACAUGAGGAAAAGAAAAAAAAAAGAAAAUGAACAAUGGAACCUAUAUUUGUCUUUAAAAAGAAACCCUAAAAACAUGAUUGCAGAAAACGAGAGCUUGAAGUCGCGUUUUAGUAACUCGCGUUUUUAGUUUAAAAGUUGUGGGACCAAAUACGUGACUCUUGAAAAAACAAUUUAAAGUCGCGUUUUGAAACUCUCGUUUUCUUCUUUGUUGUUGCAGAAUGGAAUACGUGGCUCAUGAAUGCGCGACUUGAAGUCGCCUAUUUCUGAGCACGCAUUUUCAAUUUCUGUAGUUUUCUGCAGAAAUUUUGCAACUUUUCAAAAAUUUGACUUUUACCCAAAUUAUUCAAAAUGCAUCUUAGAUCAUUCUUUUGCCAAAAUAAUCAAUACGCGCACAUGUAAAAUGAUCAAAACAUGCAUUUUAAUCCCUUCUAACAAGUCAAAAAUAAUAAUUACACAAAUUGAGGGGUUGAGUUCCUUGAUCGAAUUUCAUCCUUUUCACCUCAUUUGGUUACUUUUGCUUCUAUUUCCAAUACCUACAGAUGAAAAAUAACAAAAUAACUUAAACAUAAAAUCACAUAAAAUAAUAUGAAUAACAAAAAUAUUGGGUUGCCUCCCAACAAGCGCUUUUGUUUAUAGUCAUUUGCUCGACUAUUGAACCUCAUUUUUCAAGAAGCUAAAUAAUCCAUCAAUUUUGGUCGUGGUGGAUCAUUAAAAAGUGACUUUAUAGCAACAGUCACAGAAUCAAAUGAUAUGAGAGAUGGAAGUGGCUUACCUAUCUCAAGUGAUUCAUAGAUAUUAUCUUGAAUGUGUAGCACUUGAGAACUUACCAAAGGAAUGUCUGUAUGGCUUUUUUGGCGAAUAAUACAUUUAAAACCUAUAUUCUCAAUACAUUUCUCAAGAGGGGUGAAAAAUGAGUCGUUAAGACUCACCUCUUGAGGUUCAAGGUUAGCUUUAAAGGUAUUAUCAUGUGAAAUGGACAUUUUCUCAUUGAAAUACAAUUGAGAUUCAUCAUUUUCAUCAAAAUGCAAUCCAAUUUCACUUGCAACAUGCUCACCAUUCAUGCUAGGGUCAUAGUGCAUAUCAUUAGAAUAAAUAAUUUCAUACAACUCAUGCAAUUGGUCUUGUAUUUUGCCAAAAUGAUAAGCUAAUUUAUCUAAUCUUUUAUUAACCCUAUCAAAACAGUCGGAAGUUGCAUUUGUUAGCUUUUCUAUGACUAAUUCCUAAGAUAGCUUAGAAUUAUUAGCUAAUAGUUUCUAAUUGUCAAGAUGAAGGUGCAUUAACUAACUUUUCUAUUGUCCAUUUUCAAGAUGAUUUUGAUUCAUAUUGGACACAUUCGGGUAGAUAAUCAUAAAAAUAUGGAGAAUCACUAUAAUUACAUUAAUUAUCCAAACCAUAAGCAUAAGAAUUACCCCAAUUAGCGUUGUACUAAUCAAAACAAGGAUUGUAAUACCCAAAUUUAGCAUAAUAAUUCAUGUUUUGUGCUUGUCUAUAUGUAUGAGUAGCAUGAUAACCUCCGCACAAGUCAUAAAUCACAUGAUAAGAAUUAAAAGCAUUAACAUUCCUCUUUUGCUCAAUUUCAUGCAUAAAAGUGUCCAUUUGAAUUUGUAACGUUAUAACGUCAACUUUAGUCUUUAAGCACCUCAAACCAUCUUCAGACGACAUACUUUCUAUAAUUUCUUAGUUACCUCUAUUCAAAGAGUUUUGCAUGUAGUAAUCAUCCAUUGCCGAUCUUCCUUCUAUCAUACAUUGUCUCCUCAUAUUUUCUAUUCUCCUUAAAUUUUAAACAUGCUUUUAAAGUAAUUUAAAAACAAGUUUAGUCAAGAAGAAUAGAUGACUCGACACACAAACGAAAACAUGCAAAUAAAGACUCAACAAGACACUAAAUACAACAAACUAGACACAAGACACAACAAAGACAACAAAAAACAAGUAAAAUUGUCUAAAUUAAUAAAGUAAUUCUUAUCACCGAUAUUAACAAAUCUUCCUCGACAACGGUGUCAAAUACUUGACGUGCGCGGGGUAUACAUAUACAAUUAGUUCAUCCACAAUAAAGUUUUACAUUUAUAAAUCCUAAAUAGCCAUACGCGAUUUAUCACAAGUAUACGAAUCGUGAACGAAUAUAGGGUAUUAAAGGUCGAUUCUACAUGGAAGAUUUCAAUUAGCUAUGUUUUUUGAACUCCUUUAUUAUCUAGACUACCAUAAAAAUAAAAUUAAUGAAAAUAACACUAGAAUGAAGUUACCGGUUGAGGGAAUACUAUUAUCUUGACUAGUUAUGGCGUAAUUUUCUAAUGUACGUGAAACCUACUCUCGUUGUGAAUCAACUAUACUUGUAACUAAGCCAUACCUACUCUCGUGGUUAUGAAAUUAACUACAAGUUCAUUCCUUCUAUGAAAUCAUAUGAAACAAGUCACUUAAGCUACAUAGGUGUACCUCCACUCUCGUGAGUGUACUCGCUAGGAUUAUCACUUCCUUGAACUAGUGUUAAAUUCCAAUUCUCAUUGCAAAUUAAACACUUUUAAAUAAUCACAACCAAUGGCCGGUUAAUCAUGAUUAGAAAAGCAAAAGUGAUAAAUAACUUGUUCAAAAUAAUAUCAUCAAAUAACCAAGUAAACUUCACUAACAAGAUAUAGAAAGUUCAUCUAUAACUUUAGGCAUAAACUUUAACUAAAUAUGAAAAACAUUAAAGAAACGAUCAUACUUGUAUUAUAACUAAACAUAAGAUUCAAAUACAAGAGUUAAAGAGUUGAAUAGAUGGAACCCCUUAUCACAUGUGAGCAACAUCUUUUCCAUCUUCAAACCUCAAUCAUCAUCCUUGUUUAGUAUGAUACAAGAUAGGAUAAAACUAUACUAACUUACCUAAACUAAUGAAUUAAAAAAAACUAGUGAAGACUACAUUUUUGGUAAGUUUCUCUAAAGUUAUGAAAAUGUCCUCCAAAAGCUUCUAUACACAGAGGAAAUUUUGCAAGAGACAAUGUUAAAUCAUGUCUUGAGCCCAUAAACAAGGUAGAAAUAAGUUGUAAAGCUUCUUUUAUAGCUGUCUUGGGCUGUUUCCAUUGAUAUUCUUGCAGAAAAAUGGGUUAAAAAGCUUGUAUGAACAAAACACAAAUUGUUGAACAAGUUGCAGCCAAAAUUGAGGAAUACGCGACUUGAGAUUUCGCAAUUUCAAGCCACGUAUUCAGGUAGUCGCGUUUUCACUUCUGCUCACUUAGUACCACUUCAACUACUAUUUUCUCAUUGAUGGAGACCGAACUAGCACUUGUGCAAAACUUAAACAUUGUAGCUCUUUGAGUUAGUUUUCCAAUACCUCAAGAAUCAUCCUAGUUAGAGCUUUGUGAUCCCAAAUAUGACCAAAAUACCAACGACUGAUCAGAGCUCUAUUUCAGCUUUCGAUAACAGAGUUUCAGUUUUGUAUUUUGACAUUUUGACUAUGAAAACGACUGAACUGGAUUUUGAUGUCUCAUACCAAAUGUAGAUCUAUCUUUUGGAUUCAAAAUAGUUCAAGAAUCACCUCAAUCCAAUGCUUGUAGCUCAAGAUAUAGCCAAAAUACUACCAGGUGUCAAAACUGUCUUCAUUUGCAUUUCUUUAUUUGAAUGUUUUGCAUUUCACGUCUUCUUUUAACAACUUCAAACCAUCAAUUAUCAUCCAAUUAUAUUCUCAAUUCAUACCCUUUGAUGAUUGAAUCAUUAAACUUAUAAAAAUAUGAAAUUUUCACCAUCAAAAUCCAUAGAAAUAUAAUUGUCAUAUGUUAAACCAUAAAAUGCAUAUUUUCACUAGAAUCCUACUUAAUUAGUUAUAAAAGUAGUUAAAACACAUCAAAACUAACUAAUAAAACACACUAAAAGUACGUAAAAUAUAUACUUGUCACUUAUAUGGACACUUUUUAAAUCCCUCCUUAGAAAAUGAGCAUCUAUACAACAAUACCAAGCACGUGCGGUUUGUUUCAACCUAUAUAAUGUCUUUUUGAGUUUGUAUACCUUAUGUUCACUUCUAAGCUUCCCAUAACUAGGAGGUUGAUCAAUAAAAAUAUGUUCCUGUAGAUUACCAUGUAAAAAUGCUAAUUUCAUGUCCAAUUGGAAGAUAGAUCAUGAAUGUUGUGCUGCCAAUGUAAUCGCUAUCCUGAUCGUGUCUUGCCUUGCGACUGGAGCAAAGAUUUCUUCAUAAUCCAUCUCAAACUCUUGCUUAUAGCCUUUAACUACUAAGCGUGCCUUGUACUUAUCAACUUUUUUAUUCUCCUUUAAUUUCGUCUUAUACACCCAUUUGACACCAAUUGACUUUUGUCCUUCUGAAAGAUCGGUUAAUACCCAUGUGUUGUUUUGUUCAAUAAUUGCAAUUUCUUCAUCCAUUGCCUUCUAUCACUUUAAAUCUUUGAUAGCCUCUUCAAAAACUAUAGGAUCACAAUCGAAAAAUAGAGCAAAAUAUAUAAGUGCAUCUUCAGAUUGGUCAAUUCUAGUUACCUCAUAAUCAAUCAUCCAUGCAGGUCUUUUUCUAAUACAUUGAUACUGUUCUUCAUCUUUUGCUAUUGUUUGGGAACUUGGAAUAUCAUUUGAACCAUCUGGUGGAAUUUGUUCUAUCGACUGUUGCCUAUUCUCUUCAUCAACUCUAUUAAAAUCAGUAGGUAUUUAUUAUUUAAUAACAUUAUUGCUCCAUAGUAAAAAAUUUUCCUCAUCAAAAAUUAUAUCCCGACUAAUGGCAAUUUUCUUAGUGAUAGGAUUAUAAAAUUUAUAGACCUUUGACUGAUCACUAACACUAAGAAAAAUACAUUUCUCUCCCUUAUUAUCUAGUUUUGUCCUCUUUUGCUUUACAAUAUGAGUAUAGGCAAUGCAUCCAAAAUUCUGAAGCGAUCCACUAUUGGUUUUCGUCCAUUCCAUACUUCCUCAGGAGUCAUAUUUUUAAUGGCAAGUGUAGGAUUUCUUUUCAAUAUAUGAAUGCUUCAGUCGACAGCUUCAAACCAAAAACUUUUUGAAACACCACUUGUUGUCAAAAUGGUCGUUACCAUAUUCAAGAUUAUACGAUUCUUCCUCUCUGAAAUACCAUUCUGCUGUGGUAUAUAAACUGCUGUAAGUUGCUUCUGAAUUCCAUAUUCCUUACAAAACUUACAAAUUUUUGUGAGUUAUAUUCUCCAUUACGAUCACUGCAAAAAAUCUUUAUGGACUUGCCUGUUUCCUUAUGAUACUUCAAUUUUUUUUUUUGUAAAAAAUAAACCCAAGUUUUUUGACUAUAAUGAUUAAUAAACGUCAUAAAGUAACGUUUUCCACCAUUAGAUGGCUGAUUUAUGGGUCCACAUAAAUCAGAGUGAACUAGCUCCAUACAUUCUUUGCUAUCCACGAUUUUUCUUUUGAAAAAUUAUCCCAAUGUUAUUGGCCUACGACGCACUCUUCACAAACUUCUGAAGGAAUUGUAAUCAGAGGUACACCAGUCACCAUAUUUUUCUGCUGCAAAGUCUUUAAUCCAUUAAAAUUUAGAUGUCCAUAACUAAAAUAUCAUAACCAUAAAACAUCUUUUGAUUUGCUGAGAAACAAGAAUGAGUCGAGUUCUGCAAAUAGAGUGAAAACAUACGAUUUGCUAUCAUAUUAAUUUGAGCAAUUAGGCCUAACUUUGUAUCUCAAACCCGACAUACUCCAUCUUUUAUAGAAAUCUCGUACCCCUUUUCUAACAACUAACCCAUACUAUGCAAAUUUAUCUUUAAAUUUAGAAUAAAAAGGAUAUUAGUGAUAGUAUGAGUAGAAUUUUUUUUAGUUUAGAUAGUUAUCUUUCCUUUUCCCAUAAUGAAAAUUGUAAAGUUAUCACCAAACUUGACAGUAUUAUGGAAUGACUAGUCCAACUCAAAGAAUGCCUUCUUAUCUCCACACAUGUGAUUGUUGCAACCGGUGUCUAAAUACCACAUGUCUUAUUGAGUUUCUUUACUCAUGUGACACACCAUUAAAAGAAACACUUUUUUUUUUGCAAAAUUAGUUCUUUCUCCAAUUUGUCUAUUCAAAUUAGUUUGACAUUUUGACUGAUAAUGGCCAUACCUAUGACAUUUGUAACAUUCAACAUUAGACUUGUCUACUGACUUUGGCCUUUGAGUUGUUGAUGGAUGGCCUCCCCGUCCCCUUUUUCUUCCUUGAAAUUGAUUUUCUUCAUAAUGGUAUUGUUGUUAUUAGUUGCCACAAUUAUUGCUUCCUCUACCUCUGCCUCUGCCUUUGCCUCCUCUCCAUGUUGAGUGAUUUUUUGUUGAAACCUUCAAUACUUGCUCCUCUUUCUCUUGCGGGUUAAUUUUUUGCUCAUGAAUCAACAAAAAGCUCUACAACUCAUUAAUUAAAAGUGCAUCAAUAUCUUUUGAUUCCACUACAAAGUAUGCAAAAAAAUUAAAUGUUGUUGUCAUCGAUCAAAGGAUCUUCUCGCAAUUGGUGACGUCCUCCAAAUUCACUCCAUGGAUCCUCAUUUUGUUAGCGAUUGCCAUCAAACUUUUGAAAUAAUCUGUGACCGACUCACUUGAUUUCAUGAGUAAAGUCUCAAAUUCGGUUCGAAGAGUUUGAAGUUGCACCCACUUUGCCUUCGCAUUUCCUUGAUACUUCUUCCUCAAAGAGUCCCAAAUCUGUUUGGAGGUAUCUUUGCUAAGAAUUGUCUCCAAGAUGACUCGAUCAAUAGUCUAAAAAAGGUAAUUCUUGGCUUUAAGAUCCUUUAGGUUCAAUGCUUCAAACUCUGUUUUCUGCACCUCUAACAAUACUAGUUCGGCUUUUGGCUUUACUACUCCAGAUUCGACAACCUAUUAAUACUCCUUAGAUUCAAGAAGUUCUCCAUCAGCAUGUUCUAAUGAUCAUAGUGAUCAUCAAAGCGAGAAAUUGCUGGCUGCACAAAGUUGUUGGUAGCCAUCGUGACUUACCAACACAAUUUUCACAACUCACUUUUGUUUUCACUUAAAAACCUAGCACUGAUGCCACUGUUAAAAUGACUAAGAAAAAUAAUAAGAGAAUCAAAGAAUUAGAUUUUAUUUCUUAGUAAAGCUAAUGCUUAACUCAUAACAUAGAAAUUGCUCUAUUUAUAGAGUUCAAAACAACUUCGCUAACUAUCCCACUAACUCCAGUAGCUACUCCACUAAUUUCACUAGCUACUCCACUAAUUCCACUAAUUAGGUAGAACAAAAUAAACAAACAUAGUCAAACUAACCACAGUAAAUAUCUCUAACACUCUUGCCUCUAUUCCACAGCUUUAAAGAAAUAAGUAUGAAAAAAAUAAUUUCCUAAUCAAUUCACUGGAUUCUAUUAGAGGUGGCAAUCAGGUCGGGGUUCGCGUUGGCGGAUCGGGUUGAUGCCCAAGUAUAACAGAAAACCCACUGACCCGAACUUGACCCGCCAACUCGAAACGGGUUAGGAUAUCUGACACGAACCCGAAAAUUUUGGAUUCGCAGGUCGACCCGAAAAUUAAUUUUAAUUUAUUAAUUUAUCACUAUAAUUUCUAAUAAAAUCAAUUUCUGACAAAAUUAAUUACAUUAUCAAGUAAUAAAAAUUUAAAUAAAUAAUUUCAAACCAAAUAUAAAAUAAAUUAAACGCUGUAAAAGUGUUUUAUCCCAAACCAAAUAUAAAAUAAAUUAAAAUAACAUAAAAGUAAAAAAUAAUAUAAUAUAUUAUUUGUCUAAAUAUAAUAAUUUCAACUUCACACAAGUUAAAUAAAUUCAUUUAGGAUUAAGUAAUUAAUGAUUUAAUGCCUUUGAAAAAAAAAGAAUGAUUUAGUUUAGUUAGAUAAAAUAAUUUUUAUGUGUAUUAAAUUAUUUUUAAUUCGUAAACGGGUCAUAUCGGGUCAUAUCAGGUCACCACGGGUUGACCCGAAAUCGACCUGUUUUUUUUUUUCGAGUUCAUCGGGUUCAAUCCGAUUCUGACCCGAACCCCCGAAACCUCAAAUUGACAGGGCGUCAACCUGUGCAAUAAUACUAAUAAUAAUAACCUAAAUACCACUAAAAAGCUGUCAAUAAUUAAUCCUAGGUACUGGAGCAGGGACUCUAGGUGUGCAAUGGGUUACUUGAUUCACCCUGUUCCCGAAGAGUUUGCUAAAUCCGAUAUAUCAGAAUUAAUUAGUUAGCAAAAAUCACUGAAUAGUAGACAGUGGCAAGUAGAGUCGUCUCCUCAGGGACUGGGGAUAUUUGUCUCUCUUAAAUUCCAAUUGGUAAGGGGGGAUUUCACCGGAAAGAAACUAAAAUCAAUUAAACAAUUCAACUAAAAAUAAAUAAUUAACUAGCACGAAUAUAGCAGGAAUUAAAUCAAGAAUAAAUAAAUUCUAGCCAGGGAUGCAACUACUCAGGCACAGUCCAUUUAUCUGAUCAUUGAUGCGAGUGAGGUUCACUUAAUUUAUUAAUAGGCUAGUUAUAGUCUGACGACCAAUUUUUCCUUAAAUUAUUGAUAACCAAGGUACGACCAUUGAUCACCCCUAACCAGAAAAUACUCCUAGGUACGACCGUAGGAAUUAAUUUCCCAAUUGCAUUAAUAUUAGAAAAACCUAGCCCUAACCAAUAACACGCUACGAGGGUUAUUUAAAUUAGAUUGCACGUUCCCCUAAUGUGUAAACACACCAGUUGCCACUAACAUUAAUCAAUCAAACAAUUACGGAUUUAAUUGACUAAAUUGGCACGAGGUUAAUAAAUCACAUCGAACAUCGGGCCCUUGACAUCCAAUUAAUAAAAUAAUCCCAUGAAAAUACAAGCAGGCAACGUGCAAAUAUUAAUAAAUUAAGGGACGCGUGAAAACUAAUUAGAUCUCACAGGUUUUCGGGACUGCGCCGUCGAGUUGACCCUUGACUAGAUGGAAGAUUUAGCCACGCCGCAUAGUUAAUUCACCACACGAAUUAAUAAAUUGCGAAGGCAUUGUUUUUGACUAAAAAGUAAGGAAUAAAGGAUGUUUUUCCCGUUGGGGAAUAUUGUCGAACACCUGGCGUGUGUCAGAGGCCAGUCAGGAGGAAAAAAGAACUAAAACUAAAACUAAAAGACUAAAACUAGAGAUGUUCUGCUACUCUACGUUAUCCCUAUUUAAGCAACAAAAGAAAGAUGACUAAAAUCUAUCUAGGUGGUCCCCACACAUGUGGACAAAGCCUUCAAAGUACUUCUUGCCCCAAGUCUCUUUCCGUAGCUUUCUUUUAAGAGUCCACAAUGACAUAUAGCUUGUGGUCCCCUACCAAUUCAAGGGCCCAAGAAUUGAAACCCUUAGAAGUCUUCAUAUUUUCCAUCAAAUCCCUUCUUUUUUGGUAGUUCCCUGUUUCAUCCCUGAAAUUAAGUCCAGAUACCAAAAAUGAGUAGAAAUCAGCAAUUAACACAAUAUUUAUCAGGGAUAGAAGGGAGAAUUAAUAAUAAAAUUACUAACAAAUUAUACCCUAUCAAUUCCCCCCACACCUAAAUCAUGCUUGCCCUCAAGCAUGGGGACAAUUCAACUCAACACAGGCUAGCUUUCACACUUUCAUUUCCAGCUGUGCUUAUACCAAAAAUCAAGAUUUAGCGGCUAAGUGUCAAGUCAUAUCUUACUCGGUUAGCUUCUGAGUUCACAGACCUGUCCAAUUCAUGGCUAUAUCGUUUAGGAAAUCCAAAUAUUAACUAGCAAUAGUCCAUAAUUAAGUCAACUGUCAACCAAAAUCUCAACAAUACGAACCAAGGAUCGGCAGGCUAACAUGAUCAUAAACUCACAUACUCUCCACAUCUGAUUUUCUCUUCUCUUUUUUUUCUUUUCUCUUUUUUUUGAAUUUUUUUUUUUGAUGCUUAGUCCCGAGCUAUUCAAGUCUUUUGACGUGAACUCUGACAUUUUUAGAUGAAAGAGCCCAGUUACUCAACUUUUCACAGCUCCAGGACCACUUACUCGUAGAUAUCGCCACUUUUUGACGCGAGAGCCGACACUUGUGGUGAAGGCUCCCGGUUACUAGGUAGCGACACUAGCGGAGUAAAGCCAUACGUUAUUCACCAAUAACACCAAAAUACCAAGUAUUUAAAGAUCAUAGCCUGCGUCAUGUCCCAAAAAUGGAGAACUAAGGUAAACAGGAGACCAAACUACACAACAAUGCCGGCAAAAUAUUUAUAAUGCCUAAACAAGUUAGCCAUAAAUUGCACCAAGUCGUUAACCUCAAGGUAUUCACCAACACAGCAUGCUUUUACUAGCCAUCGAAACUCAACUCAUAGUAUAAACUACAACUAGCGAUAAAGAAGUGAGCUGCCAACAUAUUCACCAAGACAAGAGUAAGGGAAAAUCACCUAAAAGGGAUAAAGGAGCAACACCUAAAACAGAAAACACUAAAAACAUAGGAAAACACCCCAAAAACGAAAAAUUGGCAAUAUCUAGCACCCAAACUGACCCCCCCACACCUAAUGGACACAUUGCCCCCAAUGUGAUAAUGGAAGAGCAGAAAAAGGGGAGGGGCAAGGUUACUUCCCUGAAGUCGUCAAGACAAGGGAGGGUUAGGCGGAAACUGCGGAGGGAACCCGGCCUGCUGCAUAAAUGCCGCUAGAUUCUGCGCCAUAUUGUGAAUGUUAACGUCCAUGUGCCUCUGCCGCAUCUCAAGCCGCUCGACUGUGUUGCGGAGCUGGUUCCAUUCCUCAUCCGUAUGGCCGGAAGGGGGAGGAGCGGAAGUCGAAGGACCGGGGCCACCACCGGAAGUGGAAGGGCGUGCAAACGAGGAUCGCAGAGGGGCAUUUACUGGUCCCGGGGGCACAAUCUCCCACCCGUUAUCACCCUCCCGGACCAAACCCAUUCGCUCCAAGCACGGGAUGUCCAAGGGCUCCAUUUGACAAGCAACAUGUAAAUCAUGGUUAGAGAGAUCAAGCAACUGCAAGUUAACAGCCAAAUGGGUGAUAUAUGACCCAAGAAUCAAGGGACGCUUCUUUUUUGUCAAAACAGACUUAAAUUGAGUAGCGAGCCAGCACCCCAAAUUAACCUUAAUAUUAUUAUGCAUGCACCAUAUGAAAAAGAACUCUGGCUUGGACAAUACACCCGAACUAUCCCGCCUACCCGAGAAACUAUAGGCUAGGAAACGCUGGAUGUAGCGAGAAGCGGGGUCCUUGAUGUACGAGCUCUUGGUCUGGCGAGGAUCAUAAGAGGCAGGGUCGACAGACAACGCCUCCCAUAUACUCCGAUAACGAGAGAAGAAAGGCUCUAUGUAGUCGCACGCACUCUCGGCAUACUCCCGAGAGGCGGCAUAGGACUGGUCAAUAAAGCCAAAAGCUAAGUUAAACUCAGUGAUCGACUGGUGAAACUCCUGACCCAUCAAUCGGAAGUGAAUAACAUUGGGGGUAGAGGCAGAAUAACCGGUAGUAAUGGUGAACUCAAAGGUGGCAUAGAACUCCCUAACCAACUCAACAAAGGCCGGAAGAUUAACAAUACGGGAAUAUGGGCGCCACCCAAUGCCAUGGAUCAAAUGGUGGAAGGGUUCGCUAAUAUUGAGAAGGCCCAUGGUGGCAGCAUCCAGAUAACGGCAGGGAGUGAUCUGCCGCUCACAACAAACAGCAUAUCGCUGUUUGUCGGCAGUCUUAGUGAAGUGCAGAUUGCCCCCAAAAUGUGCAGGGUCAGAAAUAUGGACGCCCCUCUGUCUCCCAAGGCGAGCUCUCCUCCCAGAGGAGGAAGGUUCGUGCGAGGGGUCAGAGACGGGAAUAUUGGGUGGAGGUGUUGGAGGUUGUGAUUUCCUAGGUGUUUUAGACUUAGAAGAAGAUCGGGGCUUCACCAUGGUGACCAACAGGCAACCCAAAACAAUAGAGUAAGCAGCAAAUGCAAGCGUCACGGGCGCCCCCAAUAAGCAAAUAUAAGCGUCACGGGCGCCCCCAAAUGUAACCAGCAAACGCAGCAAUUCACCACAAAGUAAUUGAGAAAGUUUAAGAAUUCAAGCAACAAAGCAACCAGUACCACUGGUGCUCAGACAGUAAAGUAUGAAAUUCAACGGAAGCCCUUAACCACAACAAAAAUCUCAACCAGUACCACUGGUGAGUCACAGGGGAAACUAAAACAAAUAGCCAACUCAAUAAAUAUAGACAAACCACUCCAACCAGUACCACUGGUUUACACACGGAGGUCAGACGGCCAACAAUUCAACAAAAUCAGAAAUACCCCCACAUAUGGUAGCAAUUAGACCCAAACCUGUCCAAAAUGGACCCCAAAAAUUUCUUAAUUCACCCCUCAAAUAUCGCAGCAAAAAUCCCAAAAUUAGCCCCAGAAAAUGCUUAAUUCACCCCCCCAAAUAUCACAGCAAAUUCCAGCAAAUUAAGGACCAGAAAUCUAUAAUGAAAAUGAAAAUUGCAAUACCUCCACCUGCCAAAUUUGGGCAGGUGGUGACGCGUGGCUGCGAGGGGCGCUUGACGGCUAGCUGCUGAGAGGUGGAGGCUGUUGGAGCUGCAUGUGGCACCGGCGAGGUGAGCGAGUGUCUGAGCUGGAGUGGCUUUGGUGGUGGCCGCACGGCGGCGGGCGUGGGCUGUGGCACGCAGCGGCGCGCGGCGGUCAGCAGGGCAGCGAGCUAGAGGGCUGCUGGUGUGCGGCGGACUGGGCUAGAGAAGGAGUCGUGCGGGCGCGCUGGUGGAGCUCUGGUCGGCAGCUGGGGCGGACUGGUGGUUGGCGGUACGGAGGCGCGCGAGAGGAGGAUAUCGGCGGCGCGCGGCAGUGGCGAGCGGCGUGCGGCGUGCGGCGCGGAAGGAAAAGAAGGAAAAGCAGGGCAGCGGGGAAGAAGGGAAGAAAGAAAGAAAGAAAGAAGAAAAAGAAAAAAGAAGAGGAAAGAAAGUUUUUUUUUUUUUUUACAAAUCCUCCGUAUCUUCAUCUUCAUUUUUCAUUCAAUUUUGAAAUUUUUUUUUAUUUUUUUUAAAUUUUAAUUGUAAUAAAUAAGAUUUUUUUUUUGGAUUGCAAAACAUGGCGUGGGCACGCCAAGAUUCGCCAGUAUCCACUGCCUUCGAGAGUUCCUUAAGCACCGUAACGCGUGCCCUCCUCGCGUGGGCACGCCAAGAUUCUAUUCCCUACCAGUGUCGCGAGAUGUUGAGAAUUUACCAACACGGCGCGCGCACGCCAAGAUUCGCGAGUAUCCACUGCCUUCGAGAGUUCCUUACGCACCGUAACGCGUGCCCUCCUCGCGUGGGCACGCCAAGAUUCCCUUUACUGAUUAGAGUUAGAAAACACCAAGAGUGACAAACACCCACGUGAGAAACGACAUGAUUUAAUAAUUAAGCACUAAAACAACAAAAUUAACCAUUGGGUUGCCUCCCAAAAGCGCCUUUCUUUAACGUCUUUGGCUAGACGUUGUCCAAAACUUUGCUUAAACUAAGCAAGUAGGGUCCUCCAAGUGCAUCAUCUCCACCCUUUCAGUUGGAACCCCUUCAUAAUACGGCUUAAGACGAUGACCAUUCACUACAAAUUUCUUCUCAGUCUUCAAACUUUAGAUCUCUACUGCACCAUAAUGAAAGACAUUAGUCACAACAAAAGGACCAAUCCACCGAGAACGUAAUUUACCUGGAAAUAACUUCAAUUUGGAGUGGUACAGUAGAACUUUUUGCCCACACUCGAACGUCUUCCUAGAGACCUGCUGGUCAUGAAAAAUCUUGUUUUUCUCCUUAUAAAUCAUAGCAUUCUCAUAGGCUUCAUUGCGAAUCUCCUCCAAUUCUUGUAACUGUAGCUUCCUUUGAACCCCGCCCUCUUCGAUAUCCAUGUUGCAUUGCUUGACCGCCCAAAAUGCUCUAUACUCGAACUCGACAGGGAGGUGGCAUGGCUUUCCAAAUACCAAACGGUACGGAGACAUGCCGAUCGGUGUCUUGUACGCCGUUCUAUACGCCCACAAGGCAUCUUCAAGUCUCCCACUCCAGUCCUUCCUAUCAGGUCGAACCAUCUUUUCCAAAAUCAACUUGAUCUCCCGAUUCGAUGCUUCCGCCUGACCGUUUGUCUGCGGAUGGUAAGACGUGGAGACUUUGUGCAAGACACCGUACCUCCUGAAAAGCGCAGCAAUCGUCUUGUUGCAGAAAUGGGUAUCCCGAUCACUUACAAUUGCUCGAGGCAUUCCAAAGCGGACAAAAAUGUUAGAUUUGACAAAUUCUGCAACCACUUUGGAAUUGUUAGUACGAGUGGACUUUGCUUCCACCCAUUUCGAAACAUAGUCUACAGCAAGCAAUAUAUAUAGAAAACCAUAAGACGAAGGAAAAGGGCCCAUAAAAUCAAUACCCCAAACAUCAAAAAUCUCAACAAAGAUCAUUGGGGUUUGGGUCAUUUGAUCCCUACGAGAAAUAUUACCUACUCUUUGACACUUAUCACAUGACUUACAAAAUGAGUAGGCAUCUUUAAAGAGGGUUGGCCAAUAGAAUCCACUCUCUAGAACCUUACGGGCAGUCCUCUUUGGUCCAAAGUGACCCCCACAUGCAAAAGAGUGACAAUAAGCUAAAGUAGACUGAAAUUCAUUUUCACUUACACAUCUGCGAAUGAUUUGGUCGGCACCACACUUCCAGAGGUAAGGGUCAUCCCAGAUGUAAGACUUUGCGUCACUCCUUAACUUAUCCCUUUUUGCCUUAGGCCACCCUGCAGGAAACUUGUCAGUAACUAGAAAAUUAACAAUAUCUGCAUACCAGGGCAAAGUUAAAUUAGCAGAAAAUAAGUGCUCGUCGGGGAAGGUUUCUCUCAAUGGGAUAUCGUCCUUGGUGACUUGUACCCGACUCAAGUGAUCUGCAACCAAAUUCUCUGCCCCUUUCUUAUCUCUGAUCUCCAAGUCAAACUCCUGUAGCAACAGUAUCCACCUUAUCAGUCGCGGUUUUACCUCUUUCUUGGUCAACAGAUACCGCAGGGCUGCAUGAUCAGAGAAGAUAAUAACUUUAGCACCAAGUAAAUAGGAACGAAAUUUUUCUAAAGCAAAAACUACAGCUAAAAGCUCUUUCUCAGUGGUCGAAUAGUUCAAUUGGGCUCCGUUCAAGGCUCGAGAUGCGUAGUAUAUAGCGUGGGCUGCCUUUCCCACUCUUUGACCUAGCACCGCACCCACUGCGUAAUCGCUGGCGUCACACAUGAUUUCAAAUGGGAGAUUCCAGUCAGGGGAUUGGAUGACGGGUGGAGAAGUGAGUAAUUUUUUUAACUUCUCGAACGCUUCUUCGCACUCGUUGAAUUCAAAACUGACAUCCUUUUGUAAAAGCCUGAAAAGUGGUGCUCCGAUCUUUGAGAAAUCCUUGAUAAAUCUGCGAUAGAAACCUGCAUGUCCUAGAAAAGAACGAACUUCCCGUACAGUUACGGGGUAAGGUAAAGCAGUUAUCACAUCUAUUUUAGCUUUAUCAACCUCAAUUCCUCUAGACGACACUACGUGUCCUAGAACUAUCUCGUGUUCAACCAUGAAGUGACAUUUUUCCCAAUUUAGCACCAGGUUAGUCUCAAUGCAUCUUUUUAAAAUCAAUGUCAAGUUAUCUAAACAAUCGUCAAAACUAUCACCAUAGACACUGAAGUCAUCCAUGAAUACCUCAAUUAUUCUCUCUACAUAUUCAGAAAAAAUGCUAAUCAUGCACCUCUGGAAUGUUGCAGGGGCAUUACACAACCCAAAAGGCAUUCUUCGAUAGGCAAAAGUGCCAAAGGGGCAAGUGAAAGUUAUUUUCUCUUGAUCUUCUGGUGCAAUUGCUAUUUGAAAAUAACCAAAGAAACCAUCUAAAAAACAAUAAUAGGCACGACAAGCUAACUUUUCAACCAUUUGAUCGAUAAAUGGAAGAGAAAAAUGAUCCUUCUUGGUCACUGCAUUCAAUUUGCGGUAAUCGAUGCACUGGCGCCAACCCGUAGGCUUUCGAAUUGGAACGAUGUCCCCUUCAUGAUUUUCCUCCGCAGUUACCCCUGCUUUCUUUGGCACCACUUGGACCGGACUUACCCAUGGGCUGUCUGAGAUAGAAAAAAUAAUUCCUACGUCCAGAAGCUUGAUUACCUCUUUCUUGACAACUUCCAUCAUGAUGGGGUUCAAUCUCCUUUGUGGUUGUCUUAUCGGCCUAACAUCCUCUUCCAGGCGAAUUCGAUGCAUGCACACAGACGGGCUUAUACCCUUGAUGUCUGCAAUUGUCCACCCUAUAGCUUCCUUAUGCUCCCUUAAAACCCGCAGCAGCUUGUCCUCCUCCGUGGGUGAUAAUUUAGAUGAGAUUAUCACUGGUAACGUCUCCUUUUCACCUAGAAAGGCAUAUUUUAAAUGGUCGGGCAGGGGUUUCAACUCCACUUCAGGUGCCUGCACGAUAGAAGGUAAUAGCUUUAGGUGUGGUUCAGGCACAAAUAUAGGAGCAACAUCAUACCUUAGAGGACUUUGGCCUAGUGAAUGCAAGGCUCCGACCAUUCUUUGCAAAUUGAUGUCUAACUCCAUUUCGCAGGCUGCUUCCAGAUUCAAAUGUUUGGUGAUUGCUACCUCCAAUUCAUCCCUGCCAUUAAUCUCAAAUACUUCUUGCACCAAAGGGUCAAUUACACUCACAGCAAAAACAGCAUUAGAAUGACACGGAUAUUUCAUGGCCUCAAAUAUAUUGAAAUGAACUAUUUCUCCAUCAAAUUCCAUCGUUAGGAUGCCCUCACUAACAUCAAUUCUUGUACGAGCUGUGCUCAAGAAGGGCCUCCCCAACAAAAUUGGUGAUGGAUUUGGAGAACGUUCAUCACCCAUAUCAAGAAUAUAAAAAUCAGCAGGGAACACUAAAUUGUUCACUUGCACUAACACAUCUUCUAUCACCCCAUCAGGAUAAGCAUUAGUCCUAUCAGCCAGUUGAAUUAUAAUGCCAGUUUCCUUUAAGGGGCCCAAAUUCAGAGAAGCAUAUAUAGCCUUGGGCAUCACAUUUAUAGAGGCUCCUAAGUCUAACAUGGCAUUCCUAAUGCUAGUGUUCCCUAUUUUGCAAGGAAUAGUGAACAUACCUGGGUCUCCGCACUUGGGUGAAGUUUUCUUUUAAGCACUGCAGAUACGUUCUCUCCCACAAUUAUCCUUUCAUCUCCCCUUAAUUUCUUCCUAUUGAUGCAUAGGUCCUUCAAAAAUUUGGCAUACCGGGGUACUUGCUUAAUUGCGUCAAGUAAGGGGAUAUUUAUCUCCACCUUCCUAAACAUUUCCAAAAUUUCCUUUUCCAUGUCUUGCUUUUUAGGCCUUUCCAACCUGCUAGGAAAAGGUGGUGGGUUAGGCUUCAUUGGAACCACUGGGUUACGUAUUACCUCUUUAUUGGUGCCGGGAGUUCCUUCUUCCUCAAGCUCCUUCUCAAUGCGGUCCUCAUUCUUGUCCUUCGAAGCCACUGGUGCUGGUCCUUCAAUCUCUUUCCCACUCCUGAGGGUCAUUGCACUUACAUUCUUGGGAUUCACCUCAGGUUGGGAUGGAAGUUUUCCCUUCCCCUGGGAGUCUAGUCGGUUGACAAUUGAGGCUAACUGACUCAUCUGAUUUUCCAAGUUUUACAUACGCGCUUUCAUCUCCUGAUUGUUGGCCUCAGUGUCCUGUUGAAAUUUCAUAGUAUUAGAAGCUAUGGUUUUGACCAUGUCUUCUAGGGACAUACCUGAGGCAGAGGAGGGUUGAUUCCUUGUUUGAUAUUGUUGUUGGAAACCCUGUUGUCUAUUGGGGAUGAAAUUUUGUUGCUUAUUUCCCCCAUAGCUUAGAUUUGGAUGAUCCCUCCAACCCGGAUUGUAUGAGUUGGAAUAGGGGUCAUACUGUCUACAUGGCAUGGGCAUGUUACCAGCCAUGUUUGCUUGCUCAAUUCCCUCUUCAUGUAACUGUGGGCACGAGUCAGUGGUAUGACCAAUAUUCGUGCAAAUCCCACACACUUUGGCCUGCUGUGCAUUUCCUACAGCUAUCUGUCGAACAAAUGAGGUUAAUUCAGAUAAUUGCUGUUCAAUGGAAGAUGAACUUACCUCGUUGACCUUUCUUGUAGGAACAUCUGCUCUCGUGCCAAACUGCUGGCAAUUCUCUGCCAUUCGCUCAAUUAAAUCCCAUGCUUCCUGGGUAGUCUUAUUCACCAGUGCACCACCACUUGCUGCAUCAAUGAUAUUCCUAUUGUUCAUUAGUAGUCCCUCGUUGAAAUACUGAAUCAGCAGUUGAUCACUUAUUUGGUGAUGUGGGCAUCGGGUACGCAGCCUGGUGAACCUCUCCCAAUAUUCAUACAAGGAUUCCCCGUGAAAUUGCUUGAUGCCACAUAUUUCCUUUCGCAAACUAGCAGCUCUGGAUGCAGGGAAAUAUUUUUCAAAAAAUUUUUUCUGCAUCUCUGGCCACGUGGUGAUAAUGCCUGCAGGUAGACAGUAUAACCAAUCCUUUGCCGAAUCCUUUAGAGAGAAAGGGAAGGCCCUUAAUUUAAUUUGUUCAUCAGUUACUCCCGAAGGUUUCAUACUCGAACACACCACAUCAAAUUCCUGCAUGUGUUUGUGGGGUUCCUCUCCUGGCAGACCAUGAAAAACAGGCAGCAAAUGUAUUAAACCAGGUUUUAAUUCAAAAGCUGCAUUCUCACUAAGGCGAGGAAAAGUUAUGCAAAGAGGUUGUUGGGUUAAGUUUGGAGCAGCCAACUCCCUUAAUGUUUGUGUGUUUGCCAUGUCGACGUUCUCUUGGCAAAAAUCACUUGAAGUGUCACCCAACGAAUCUGCUGGUUCAACUUCGGGCUCAGGUCUCUGAGCUGUAGCCCUGGAGUGCUCCUCUCUGAGCUGUCUGGUUUCUUUCCUUGUUCUGCGCGCGGUUUUCUCUACUUCAGCGUCAAAAAUCAAUUCACCUGUGCGAGAAGACCUAGGCAUACACUAGAAAAAUACCAGAAAAUUAGAGCAAAAAUGAAAUUUUAAAAAGAAACAAAUAAUAACGCCAGUCCCCGGCAACGGCGCCAAAAAUUGACAGGGCGUCAACCUGUGCAAUAAUACUAAUAAUAAUAACCUAAAUACCACUAAAAAGCUGUCAAUAAUUAAUCCUAGGUACUGGAGCAGGGACUCUAGGUGUGCAAUGGGUUACUUGAUUCACCCUGUUCCCGAAGAGUUUGCUAAAUCCGAUAUACCAGAAUUAAUUAGUUAGCAAAAAACACUGAAUAGUAGACAGUGGCAAGUAGAGUCGUCUCCUCAGGGAUUGGGAAUAUUUGUCUCUCUUAAAUUCCAAUUGGUAAGGGGGGAUUUCACCGGAAAGAAACUAAAAUCAAUUAAACAAUUCAACUAAAAAUAAAUAAUUAACUAGCACGAAUAUAGCAGGAAUUAAAUCAAGAAUAAAUAAAUUCUAGCCAGGGAUGCAACUACUCAGGCACAGUCCAUUUAUCUGAUCAUUGAUGCGAGUGAGGUUCACUUAAUUUAUUAAUAGGCUAGUUAUAGUCUGACGACCAAUUUUUCCUUAAAUUAUUGAUAACCAAGGUACGACCAUUGAUCACCCCUAACCAGAAAAUACUCCUAGGUACGACCAUAGGAAUUAAUUUCCCAAUUGCAUUAAUAUUAGAAAAACCUAGCCCUAACCAAUAACACGCCCCAUUAAUUUCGUGUUAGAUUCGUGUCGUGUUUUCGGGUCGUGUCAGAAAUUGUCACCCCUAGAUUCUAUAGAGAACAACUCUGGCAAGUAUUAUGAAAAGAUUGGGGUCUUGUACGGUUACAAUAGUAAUAGCAGAGUAUAUUUGAAGGCGCAAAUGUGUUUGAAAAGGAGAUUAUUAGAGAAAUUUUUUUCAAAAAAAAUACUAUAACACUUUUUUGAUGUGACAUAUAUGAAAUAAAAAGAUAAUUGAAAAAUGUGUUUGUAAUGCAAUUAAAUAAAGUUGUGCAAAUAAUAAGCUAUCCAAAUUGUGUUAUGAAAUUAGAUGGUAAAGAUUAAAUAUAGGAUACCAAUUUCAAUGUAUCAAAAAAUUUGUCAUAUAUUUUAUCUUAUUAUAUUAGUAUAUAAAUUUAUUAUGUUAAUGUUUACAUUAGUUAUGUUACUGACUUAAUACUGUCAUCAGUAGUAACAGCAAAAGCAAGCUGUGUAUCGUAUUAUCACCACUAGUCACAGUAAAAGCCUCUGAUCCAUUGUGGAAGUGUUUUUACGUUUUCACUAGUUUUUUCAGCCUCACGCGAUGCGUGAGGAUGCCCUGGGUCUAUGUUAAUCAAGAUCAAAUGAAGGCAAGUGAAUUAAUGUAAAAUGCUUAUGUAUUAAUACAUGAUAGGUGUUAAUAAAUGUGAGGAAUUUGAUUUUAAGUAAAUUGAAUAUUGAUGUUACUCGUUUACUCAUUUGAUUUGUAAUUUUCUCUUAGAUAGUCAGUCAUUACCUUAAGAUCUUUGCAAAUUCUUGAUACUAUAAAUAAAUGAUGCAUUCAUUUGAAAUGUACAAGUACAUACAAAUAUCAUAAAUGUGGUGACGCUGAUCACUUUUAAAAUUAUGCACACACUAUUUGUAUCUAGUCAAGAAUGAAAUAAGUUUAAACAAGUAAAACCCUUCUUGAAACUUAUUGUGAAUAAACACAAUGGUGAUGUCAAUAAUUUAAAAGAACAAUCAUCACAUUUCUAUGCAAUAAAAAAUGUCAAGAAAUUGAGAAUUAUUCGUGAUGUAGUAAAACAAAUAUGCUUCUAGUAAUUGUAGUAAAAAAUAUCAUAUUGACAGGUGUUGUUUCUUGUAGUAAUCUUUCCAAUAGAACGAGCCUUACAAAACUUCUUGCACUCAUUGCAAUAAUUUUUGGGUGUAGUACAUAGAUCAUCGUCAUCAUUUUUCUUCUUUGCAUCUCUUUUUUGUGCAUAGACUAUUAGUCAAUGACGAUGAACAUUUCCUUCUUUUCUUUUGUCAAGCAUUCUUUGAAGUAGAACAAAUUAUAGUAAUCUUGAGACAUGCAACAUGUAGUAUAUUUUACCUUACAACCUUAAUAGCCAAUUCAUAAUUGGACCUUAACUACCAUUUGAAUCCCGUAAGGAUGCCUGGAUUUCUGUCUGAAUUUGCUACAAAAUAUCUAAGUAUUUGCUUGAACUUGAUGCAAAUUUCUGAUACGUUUGUGGGAAUGCAUUAGUAGGAGAAUUACUUAGGAAGUACUAAACAAUAGCUAGGAACAACCUGGAGAAAUAUAUCAUACUCAGAUUCACUGCAAGGUAUUGUCCCUAUUUUCACAAAUGCAAAGCAAUAGUAUCCCUGCAUCUACAGAUUAGUCUUAGUAGGGACCAUCCAAUAUUGAUUUAUAAAUGACCAAACUACUUAUUCAAUUAUCCACCAAACUGAAUAGCUCGUAUUCAUAGCUUUCUAUCUCACUAGUGUUUUGGAGGAAACUACUUAUUGAUCUUAUUUCAGAAAAGAUUUGGAAUCCAGAGACCUUAUUCACUGCCUGAGGUAGUCUUUUAAACCUUUGCCACUUUUUUGUAUGUUUUUUUUCCGUCGAAGUUUUUGUGGUACUUGCAUGAUUAGGAAAUUAAACUAUACUUUGAUAAAAAAACAUGUAGCUUUGACCUACAGUAUGUCAAAAUCGCAAGCAAUUGAUAGAUAGUAUUCAAUUUCUGGUUUCUUUAUAUAUUUGGCUUGCAGAUUUUUCUUGCUAAGCAGACCAAGAAUUUUUGUACUUGUGCUUCAAACUUUACUGUUGUUGUAGUUAAGUAAUGGUAAUUUAUGUGAACAAUCACCUUAAUUUUUUAGAGGAUUGCUAAUUGAUUCCAUUCUUGGUACUCUGGCCUUUUAUUGUGGUCCAAUAGUUCGACAUAUUAGUUUUCAGAAGGAAACAACAAUCAUCAAAAGGUUUGUAUUUAAUUGUAAUUUUAGGGGAUAGCUGGAUAACCCUUCUUCUUAUCUUUAAACCCAUGAAUGGGUUAUGGAACGAGCAAAAUUUUCGUGCCCCUCCCUCCCCGGGCCUACUUCUGGCAUGAUAUAUCAACAUAGUGACGAUAUUGCCCUGAACUUCUUCGAAUGUCACAUUGUAAGAGCCACUGGAGUUGCUAAAAAUUACUCUAUAACCGGCCCAUGCCUACUGUAGCAAUCCCAACUCUCGCUUUUAGUAUAGUAAAGAUUUGACUCGUAUACAUGAUCUAUAAGAGUAACUAUUUAAUAUAGCCUUGUAUACAAGUUGUGUACAUAGCCUAUGAGAGUAGAAUGAUGCUAUAUAUAUACACAUACACAUACACACACUCAUCACCAGCUUAUCAUCACCUACGUGGAGUGAUGACGUGUAGCAAGGUUUCCUUUUCCAUCUUAAAGAAGUAAUGGCAUGGCAUGGCAAUAAUUAUUUGGAAUAUACAUAUCAAAUUAAUUAAAUUUAUAAUGCUUAAUUAUUCAUUUCAAGCUUACCUUAAUAAUUCCUAUACAAAAUUAAGUAAGGUUUAAUAUUUGUAAGUUUCCAAACUAUUAACUAGUUGUCAAUUUGGAAUGUUUCUAUCUUGACUAAUCAUUGUUGUUAAUUAAUUAAAGAUAGUAUAUUCUAGAGCUAAUCACUGGUGCUUUCUGCCAACGACCAAAUGGAACCAAGUAGGCGAAUAGCUAAGGAUUAAAUGAACCAAUGACAGAAGAGCUUGCAAAAUUUGUAACUAAAAAUGCUAAUGAAGUCUCCUUGAAUUCAUGGAAGAAGAAGGUGGGGUUGUAGGGAGGAUUGAAUUAAUAAACGUAAAGCCAAAAGCGUAAUUCGAGCAGAAAUAUUCCUUUCAAAAUGCUUUACAUAUUUGUAUUACGAAGCUCCAUAAAAAUUGAAAAUUAUUCAAACACAAAAUUUCCUAAAAUAAAAAGUACAUACACUCAAUUUUAUAAAUAAAUUAUUGAAAUAUAGCAGAUCAUAUCUACGUAGGAGGUGAUAGAUCGAUGAUGAAAAAUCGGUGAUAUAUAUCACUACUCAUGAGUGAUUGUUUCAUAUAUUGUCGUCCGAGAAAGUAAUGUCUUUAGUCUUUCUCAAUCACGUGCUCCAUAUCAUUUUUCCACAUCCAGCUUCUGUUUUAUUUAGUCUCUUUCUUCCUUCUGGCCAAUGUGUCUCUUUCUUCUUCCUGUUUUGCAUGUUUGGCCCAAUUCACACAACCCCUUUGCUGUAUAUGAAAAUGACCAAAUCGACAAGUUAGGGUGUGUGUGUGUCUUUAACUCUCAGUCAAAAUUAAUUAGUUGGGUGUGUGUCUUGUUCCGUUUCCGAAAAAAAAAAACAAGUUAGGGUGACUCAUCCAACUCCAUUAAAGGAUGAUUGGAUAGGGAUCCAAGUUGCACGGCAUCAACGAUUUCUCAGAUUCCUACACUGUGACAAAACACACGCCUAUGUCUGGCAAGAAGUAUGAUAAUGCUGCACGGCAUCAAUGAUUUUUCAAUAUUCAUUUUUUUUCUUUUCUUAUAUUUUUUGCCUUUUUCCAAAAAAAAAAGAAGUGAUCAAGUUUCAAACAAGUAGUAAUCCUUUUUGUUUCAUUUUUCUGGAAAACUAAUUAAUUGUAUGAUCAAUACAAUCGUACUAGCUACUGUUAAAUCAAUGUUUUGAGGGAAGGGUGAUUGUGAAACAAAAGUUUUUAGCUUUAUUUGGUGCUUGAUUAACAAAUGGCAGCAUAUAUCCGAAGAAGAUAAGUGGAUUUGGUCAUAUGCUUUGCAGCAUAUUUAUUAAAAUAUAUGUGCGUUCAUCCGCGUGGAAUCAACCAAAAAAAUGUGGAAAACAAUGAACUUAAGUUAGAAAUUAUUGCGAAUGGAUAAACACCUUUUUUUUAAAUUUUUUUAAAGGGCCGUAUGGAGUAAAUACAACCCGCAAUUUUAUUCUUUGUUCUUGGAGGAGCUCUUUUGCAAUAUAGGACCGCAUGUAGUACAUUUCAAAAGUGUUUGGGUGUCACAUGCAGUACAUAACUACAUAUGCGGCACCCCUAAAUGGGAUCGACACUUUUGUAUCCAAAAAAUGAUUUUAUGUGAGUCAAAUGGUGAUUUCAAACUAAAAACAUUGGAAGCUUAAGAUUAGGACUAAAUUUUGUUGAUUUAAAUUUGUAAGGCAUGUAGAAUUAAUAUUUUAAAAGUCAAAGACAAAAAAAAUCAUUUAACAAAAUAUGAAACAUUUUGAACGGUUUUCUAAAUUAAGUUCAAAGACAAUUGGUGGUUUAUGGCCAAAAGAAAUAAGGGAUGAUUUAGGAAUCUCGCUUGAGAUUUCUAACAAUGGGUUUGUUUGGAUUGUGUUUUAUUUCCCCAAUUUUAUCUGCUUACAUCAUCAUUACAAUUUCCAAUACACCUUUUUAUCUUCCCAAUUACCUUUUUAUCUCACACACAUCACAUCACAAAAAGUGCUACAGUAAAAAUAUUCCAAAUAAAACACAAUCCAAAAUAUUCAGCACGCUUGAACUUCUAAAAACAUCACUUACUUUCCUUGUCAUUCAAAGUGAACAUCACAAAUCACUAAUUGAUAUUUUCACCCUCAAUACUAUAGGUUUAUUUGGGAAAAAUACUUUCCAACUAAAAAAAUUAAUAUGAUUGUCUUCUUUUGCCUUUUUUUCUUUUUAAUUUUGCCCUAUCUUUAAUGCAAAUGCCAAAUAUAUUUUAGUCCCAAUUCAGAAUCUUAUAUAUUUGAAAGUGCAAUUUUUUUUACACCAGUUUACCUACCAUUUGUUUUGACACAAUCUGUUCAACUCAUUAAUUUUAUUGCCUUCAUAUUGUGAUUUUACUAGCAUAAGUAGAGCCUAUUUUAGGGUUUUUUUUUUAUUUUCUCCGCCCUCAAACAAAAUUUUUGGUUGUGCCUAAAAAAUUUCUGGCUGUGGCCUUGCAAUUAGAACAAACAAUUUUGUUCACUAAUAUUGAAAGAUUCAAGACUUCCCUCUUAAAUUUUAAGAGAUCUUACUUGUUCUUUCUAAUUCUUUACUUUAUAUUUUCAAAAUCUGUGCAUCAAUGUUUCUAUUUUUUUCACCUCAACUCUGUUCAUAUGCAUUUUCAGCAACAUAAGUAACUGUUAUUAUUUCAACAAUGAUGUGCUUAAUAGUUAUUGCUGCUAUAUUUAGUUGCAUUACAAUAACAACCACUAUAUAAUUUUUCCUUGGCUUUUAAAUCUUUUAUUAAUCCUCAUAUGGAUUUUGGGUAAUGAGUGAACAAGAAAGACAACUAAAAGGGCAAUUUAUGUUCUGUUUACUUAAAUGAAUCUUUUAAUCUUACUUUGCUCCUAGUUCCUGAACAUGUUACACAAGAGUUGAUUUAGGGGAGGUCAAUGAGAUUUUCAACAGUCUAGAAGUACAAAGUGAUAUUCACAAAAACCUUAGGAAGGUUUCUGAAAUUAUCCCAAGAAAUAAUUCAAAGCCAAUGCAUGUGGCCCCUACAGAUUAACCUUAUUAAACUCGACCAUGUGUAUAAAACCCCCCACCGGAGUUUGGCAUACAACCCCACUGGAGUCCAUUGUCAUACCCUAACUUGCUAUUCAGCCCUGAUGGAAAGCACUUGGCUACUCUUAGCCUUGGCAUGGCUUGUUGCAUUGGCUUUUCUCUCAAAAGGAUCCACUCACAAACGCCUCAAGCUAAAUCAUCCACCAGGACCAAAACCAUGGCCUAUUAUUGGCAACUUGAACCUCCUCGGUUCAAACCCACAUCAAUCCUUACACUUGUUGUCCCAGAAAUACGGAGAAAUCAUGCAACUAAAAUUUGGUUCCAGCCCUGUUGUUGUAGCUUCAUCCCCUGAUAUGGCAAAAGAAUUCUUGAAAACACAUGACGACAUCUUCGCCUCUCGGCCUACAACUGCUGCUGGCAAAUACACUAGCUAUAACUGCUCCGACGUGUCAUGGGCACCUUAUGGUCCGCACCAGUGUUUUGAAAACCGGACCGGACCGGCCGGUUCGACCGGUUGAACCGCGAACCGGCCAUGGCUCCGGUCCGGUUCACUGCCAGGUUUGACUUUGUCAAGAAACCGGUCAAAAACCGGUCGGACCGCGAAACCCGCUGAACCGGAUUUGAACCGGUUAUUUCCGGUUUUUGAGUUUUCCUUUUUUUUUUUUUUUUUUUUUUUUGCAAAAUGUAGUUAUCAAGAUUCGAACUCAAGACCUUUGUAAUAGAAGGCCAAUGUAGUAACCAUUGCACUAUCACAUCUUAUUAGUUUUUUUGGUAACUUAUUUAUAUAAAACAAACACUCAUAUUUCUUUUGUUCCAUUUUUUUUACAAAAUAUCAUCCUUUCAUGACUCUUUCUUUUUAAUCUUCAACACACACACACACACACUCUCUCUCUAUCAUCUUUUCUUUUGCCACUCAUUUUUUAAUCAAAUCUCUUUAUUUUUAAUUUAUUGAUGUUUUCUUCCAUAUUUUAAUUUUGUUUUUGUCCAUUAAAUUUAAAAAAGUUAAAAAAGAAUUAUUUUUCUUUAACCCAAUUUAUUUAAUACCACAACCACUCACUUUUAUCUCAUUUUUUGUUUCUUAUCAAAUUUGCAUUUCUAUUUUCAAUUCUCUUGAUUUUCUUCGAACUCCAAACUUUCUUUUUUAAAUUGUAAAUUUAAAUUCCAAAAUGUAAAUUAAAAUUUAAGUUCACAAUGUCUAAAUUUCAUAGACGUGAAUUUUGUAUAAUUUCAAAUAUUGUGAUAUUUUUGGAUUAUAUUUAAGAUUUUUUUGGUAGAUAUAAUUGAAAUUGAGAUGAAAUUUAUUUGUUUUAACUUAUAAUUUAAAAAAUUUAUUUUUAAAAAUCCAAGUUAUUCAAAAAUAGUAAACUUUUCAUCAUAUAAAGUAUUAAAUUAUCCAUUACAUGUCUUAUUUUGUGCACAUAUAUAUUUAUAUCAAUUAUUUUUUAAAAAAUUCAUUGAACCGAGGUUGAACCGGUCCGACCGGUUGAACCUCGACCCUUUCACUUCACCGGUUCGAUUAACGGUCCGGUUUUUAAAACAUUGGUCCGCACUGGCGGCAAGCUCGUAAAAUUUAUCUUUCCCAAAUCUUUAGCCAAAAACCACUUGACUCCUUCGAGAGCAUACGCAUUGAAGAAAGGCGUGCUUUCAUUUCUCGCUUGUAUGCUCUAUCAGGAAAGCCAGUAGUUAUGAGAGAUCAUCUAAUGCGUCUUACCCUCUCCACUGCAAGCCAGAUGGUUUUGAGUAACAAGUACUUUGCCCAAUCUGAAGAGGAUGGAUCUCUAGUUACCUUUGAAGAGUUCCAAGAGAUGAUAGAUACAUGGUUUUUGCUGGGUGGUGUGUUCAAUAUCGGGGAUUGGAUACCAUGGCUCGACAGAUUUGAUCUCCAGGGUUACAUAAAGCAAAUGAAAGAACUUGACAAGAAAUUUGAUAGAUUCCAUAACCAUGUGCUUGAUGAUCACCAGGCCAAGAGGAAAACGGAGAAGGAUUUUAUCCCUACGGACAUGGUGGACAUUCUAUUGCAAUAUGCUGAAGAUCCUGAUCUCCGGGUCAAACUCACCAGAGAUCAAAUAAAAGGGCUAAUUCAGGUGCUAUUUCUUCUCAUUGUUUAAUCAAAUUUUCUAUAUCUCUUUACCUCUUUAACUUGCUGAAUCUAAAAUCUAACAGUUUUUCUUAGUAUAACGUGCCAUUAAAGAUAAUUGUCUUCUCUUCUGAUUAAGAAGUUUUUUCCUUUCUAGAUUCAUAGUAGUUUAAUCUCUUUUAAAGGAUGACAUAUAUUUUUACCAAUAUUUGAUCAUGGCAGGACUAACUUUACCAUUAUUUGAUCAUGUCCAGGACUUACUGGCUGCUGGCACAGAUACCUCAGCGUCCACCGUAGAAUGGGCAAUGAAUGAACUUCUCAAACAUCCACGUCUCAUUGAAAAGGCGACCGAAGAGCUUGAUAGAGUGAUAGGGAGAGAUAAGUGGGUGGAAGAGGCUGAUUUCUCAAAGCUACCUUUUCUAGAGGCGAUCAUAAAGGAAACUUUUAGGUUACAUCCAAUAACAACGCUACUUCCACCCCAUUAUGCCAUUGAGGAUGGCACAGUAGCUGGUUAUCACAUUCCUAAAGGAACAACGGUGCUUAUAAACACAUGGAGUAUAGGGAGGAACUCAAAGUAUUGGGAUUCUCCUGAAGAGUUCAUGCCAGAAAGAUUUUUGGAGAAGGAUGUUGACAUGAAGGGACAAAACUUUGCGUUAUUGCCAUUUGGCUCAGGUCGACGGAGGUGCCCGGGCUAUAACCUUGGACUCAAACUUGUUCGAUCAAUGUUGGCCAACUUGUUGCAUGGAUUUAACUGGAAAUUGCCUCAUGGCAUGAAACCAGAAGAAAUUUGCAUGGAAGAACUCUACGGACUCACAACUCAUCCAAGGACUCCACUUGCUAUGAUCCCAGAACCACGUUUGCCGGUCAAUCUCUA
rnacentral:lncRNA from 1 species